GUGAGGAAUAUUGGGCAAUGGGCGAAAGCCUGACCCAGCCACGCCGCGUGAGUGAUGAAGGCCUUCGGGUCGUAAAGCUCUGUUGCAGGGGAAGAACACAAUGACGGUACCCUGCUAGAAAGGAUCGGCUAACUUCGUGCCAGCAGCCGCGGUAAGACGAGGGAUCCUAGCGUUGUUCGGAAUUAUUGGGCGUAAAGCGGGUGCAGGUGGCUUGGUAAGUCAGAUGUGAAAGCCUGGGGCUUAACCCCAGAAGUGCAUUUGAUACUGCUGAGCUUGAGUGCUGGAGAGGCUAUUAGAAUUCCUGGUGUAGUGGUGAAAUACGUAGAUAUCAGGAGGAAUACCGGAGGCGAAGGCGGAUAGCUGGCCAGACACUGACACUCAGACCCGAAAGCGUGGGGAUCAAACAGGAUUAGAAACCCCUGUAGUCC
rnacentral:rRNA from 1 species